GCCGAAUCAAAACAAACCACUCACAGCUGAGAUCCUCGGCAAAGAAUGAUUCAGUAAAGACAGUCGCGGCCGUGUGCCUUUUAUGUUAGUUCAUUAUCAACCUCAAACAUUCGCGGAAAGUGUUGACAAAAUGUUUCUUACAACAGCAAGUGGAAUCUGUCUGUUAUUGUUUUCAGCGUCCUCGGUGGCCUUGGAUUUAAGCUGCAGUAUUAUUCAUUCGCUUCCCAUCGGUUCGGAGCGUUAUAAUUUUAACGCGAGGCAUGGAACCCCAGUACGCAGUCAGCAAACAUACGUUGAAGUGUGCAUAAUCGCGAGUGUGAACCUUAACAGCACAGACACCGAAGUGACUUUCCCGAAAAAUCAACACAUCGAGCUGUUCUACCCAUCGAUCCCGACAAUCGGAAGCAAUUUUUUUCGUCAGCUUGGUGAAGUUACCUUGAACUUGGAGCUACGCAAGGGCAACUUGAGUGAGUUACUGUUCGGCGAGAGUAAGCUAAACCAUCUGAAAAUUGGUGAUACUGGGCUGAGUAGGUUUGAAGUGGUGGACGAGUACGAUUCCAACCUUCAGACGCUAAUCAUUCACGAACGUCUGAUCACUGUUCUGCCUACGAGAGUGAAUUUACUUCGAGAGCUCCGAUCGCUGGACCUUUCCGGCUGUUCCCUAACGAUUGUAGAUCUAAGCCAACUGAAUGGAUUAAAUUUGUUGAAUGCCUUAGUGCUUGCCGACAAUCAGUUGUCGUCCGUGGAAGAUGGAGGUGUGGGUGUCAAUCUACCAGCGCUCAACAAGUUCGAUGUACAGCAAAACAAACUAUCGCGCAUCGAUCGCUUUCCGGAAAUGUUUCCCGCACUCAAGUUCACCCGUAUCAUGCAAAACCGCUGGGACUGUGAGUGGGUCAGUGAGGUGAGAGAUAAAAUCUGGCGAAAAAACAUCACCGUCCUGGGGACGGACUUUCGCUGUGGUCGUAGGAUCAACAACGGUGGGCUCUGCUGUACGUACGCGCAUCCCUUCCGAGCGCGUCUUGCAAUCGCCAAAGCGAUGCUCUCGGUUCUUGAUGAGCUAACUGCAACUUCGACCGGAGAUGGCACUGCUUCACAAUCGAUCGAUCCGCUGAUAACGUUCAAAGUGUACGAGAACGAGACGGUCGACGGUGUGAUUGGGGUGGAGACGCAAAACGUUGGAAUCUACUUGCAAAAUCCCAUCGGUGUUGUGUAAAUAAGUUUAUUCCGUGCCGAGUGCGUCCUUCCGACGAGUUGUUGUGUGCUUCAUGCUUCCAGUAACGAUAAGAGAUUGGCACGACGCAUAGUUCAUCAUCUGUGGGCAUCAGUAUAAUGCGUCCUUUAAUAUUCAUAUUACUUGUAGUGAUCCCAUGUUCAUUAGCCAUCAUUAAGAGGACGAUAGAGUGCUCCCGGGUGCAGCGUAAUUCAACAUGCUUCAUCGAGGGCGUCUCGUUUCAUACCCCGACGGAGGAGUACUUUACAGCGUUCCCAACCUCACCGCACAUAAUUAUAGAAUCGAGUGAAAUUCUACACUUCUCGGGCCAGCUGUUCGAUGCGCUCGCUGAGACCGCGUUCCUAACGCUGAAGGGCUCCCUGAUACCGACGGUUACCUUUCGCUCGGACGAACUACACUGUCUUCGGAUCGACAAUACGGGGCUGCGCGAGUUUGCGGUAACACCGUUCGAAAAUCGGAACCUCAACACGCUCAUCAUCAACGGAAAUCCUUUGUCGGCCAUUCCAUCCACCGUCCGCUACCUUACCGGGCUCUCGAUUCUGGACUUGUCGAACAAUCAGCUAGAACACGUCAAGCUUGACUGGUUUCAAACGAUGGAAAAUCUAUUGGUGCUUGAUCUUUCUGGGAAUAGAAUCACGCGGCUUGAUAUACCUCCGUCGUUGCGAUUUGGACGCUUGAAGAACUUCUGGGUCAAUCACAAUCUUCUAAGGCAUGUACCAUUUUUCCCCAACUUUGCACCUGCCUUACGACGUGUUCGGCUUGUCGAAAAUCGUUGGAGCUGUGAGUGGGUGGCCCAAGUUCGGCAGGCUAUUUGGACGGCGUCCAUUGAGGUGUACGGUGCGGAGUACGUGUGUCCGGAUAAAUUAGACGGGGGACUUUGCUGUUACGAGGAUUAUCUGUACCAUGGUACUGAUAUAGAGGUGGAACACGAAGCACGAAGGACAUACUUGGUUGAUAGAAUAGAGGUGGAACAAUUUCCUCGCGCUGAACGUAUGUUAGCCAGGGAUGAAAAUCGAGAGGAAAGACAACACAUGAUUCUGAAGCAUUCGUUCGACGUGCUGGAGCAGAAGUAUCGCCGAUUGGUCGAACAGAAGGAGCAGCUUGAGCAGCGAUUUGUCAACACGGUGCGUGAGUUAGAACGGACAGUGAAAAGAUUGACGGCAGAGUUAACAGAAGCGCAGGACACGAUUCGAGCCCAAAACCUUAAAAUUGUGUUAAGAUAAACAAUUACGGAAACCAAAACUCAAAUCUCCCCCUAAAAAUUCCGCUAAACUGUUAGCAUGUAGACAAAACUAAUGAAUAAUAAAACCACCAUCUAACCCAUCUGAGUGGUUAUGUUUAUA